GACGAACGCUGGCGGCGUGCUUAACACAUGCAAGUCGAACGGAAAGGCCCUGCUUUUGUGGGGUGCUCGAGUGGCGAACGGGUGAGUAACACGUGAGUAACCUGCCCUUGACUUUGGGAUAACUUCAGGAAACUGGGGCUAAUACCGGAUAGGAGCUCCUGCUGCAUGGUGGGGGUUGGAAAGUUUCGGCGGUUGGGGAUGGACUCGCGGCUUAUCAGCUUGUUGGUGGGGUAGUGGCUUACCAAGGCUUUGACGGGUAGCCGGCCUGAGAGGGUGACCGGCCACAUUGGGACUGAGAUACGGCCCAGGCUCCUACGGGAGGCAGCAGUGGGGAAUAUUGCACAAUGGGCGGAAGCCUGAUGCAGCCACGCCGCGUGCGGGAUGACGGCCUUCGGGUUUUAAACCGCUUUCGCCUGUGACGAAGCGUGAGGGACGGUAAUGGGUAAAGGAGCACCGGCUAACUUCGUG
rnacentral:rRNA from 1 species